UACGGGGGGAGCAAGCGUUGUUCGGAUUUACUGGGCGUAAAGGGCGCGUAGGCGGUCAGCACAAGUCAGUUGUGAAAUCUCCGGGCUUAACUCGGAAAGGUCAACUGAUACUGUGCGACUAGAGUGCAGAAGGGGCAACUGGAAUUCUCGGUGUAGCGGUGAAAUGCGUAGAUAUCGAGAGGAACACCUGCGGCGAAGGCGGGUUGCUGGGACGGUAUUGACGCUGAGACGCGAAAGCGUGGGGAGCAAACAGG
rnacentral:rRNA from 1 species